rnacentral:rRNA from 1 species
GCUGGCGGUAUGCUUAACACAUGCAAGUCGAACGGAAACGAUACUAGCUUGCUAGUAGGCGUCGAGUGGCGGACGGGUGAGUAACGCGUAGGAAUCUGCCUGAUAGUGGGGGAUAGCCCGAAGAAAUUCGGAUUAAUACCGCAUAAUCUAUUCGUAGUAAAGUGGGGGACUUUCGAGCCUCACGCUAUCAGAUGAGCCUGCGUAAGAUUAGCUUGUUGGUAGGGUAAAAGCCUACCAAGGCGACGAUCUUUAGCUGGUCUGAGAGGAUGAUCAGCCACAUCGGGACUGAGACACGGCCCGAACUCCUACGGGAGGCAGCAGUGGGGAAUAUUGGACAAUGGGGGCAACCCUGAUCCAGCAAUACCGCGUGUGUGAAGAAGGCCUGAGGGUUGUAAAGCACUUUCAAUUGUGAAGAAAAGUUAGCGGUUAAUAACCGUUAGCCUUGACGUUAACUUUAGAAGAAGCACCGGCUAACUCCGUGCCAGCAGCCGCGGUAAUACGGAGGGUGCAAGCGUUAAUCGGAAUUACUGGGCGUAAAGCGUGCGUAGGCGGUUUAUUAAGUCAGAUGUGAAAGCCCCGGGCUUAACCUGGGAACUGCAUUUGAAACUGGUCAACUAGAGUAUGGUAGAGGAAAGUGGAAUUUCUGGUGUAGCGGUGAAAUGCGUAGAUAUCAGAAGGAACAUCAAUGGCGAAGGCAGCUUUCUGGACCAAUACUGACGCUGAGGUACGAAAGCGUGGGUAGCAAACAGGAUUAGAUACCCUGGUAGUCCACGCCGUAAACGAUGAUAACUAGCCGUUGGGGGGAUUUACCCUUUAGUGGCGAAGCUAACGCGUUAAGUUAUCCGCCUGGGGAGUACGGCC